CUCUGGUUAGCUCAGUUGGUAGAGCGCUCCACCUGUAAUGGAGAGGUCCCGGGUUCGAUACCCGGACCAGGCG
rfam:Ixodes scapularis strain Wikel colony gcontig_1108379380790, whole genome shotgun sequence.